GGAGGCGCCGCGGCGUCGGCAGUUGAGACGCGUAGACCGGGCGGAACGCCGGGCCGUUGGGGCGCAGAAUUUACACGACGGAGGUUGGGAGAAAGGGGCGGCGCAUGCGCGCUGCGUCCGCGGAAGGAUGGCCGCGGAGAGAGACGCAGGAAAACGGUGCCAGGCCCCCGACGCUCUCAGCGGAGAAGGCCGAAAGACCUGCGACGAGCCGAAGGGAUGAGCCGGUCGAGGGCGGAGACUCUCGGGGCUGGCGUCCCUUGGGGAGAGCUAAACGCGUCCGGGAGGCGGGGCUCCCCCGCGAUCAAAGCACGCCAUGCAAAUGAAGUGGCUAGGCCAGCCAAUGAGAGGGUCCGGAGGCGAGUAUCCUUGACGUUCGCCCGAGGAGGCGUUCUUCUCGUAGUUCUGGACAUUUGCAUAAUAUAUGCAAAUGAUUGGAACAAAGACCAGGAAUGAUCUGCGCUUCCAGAUUUUAGCAGCGAAUAACUAAGCACCUGUUCUGACCAUUGCCAUGUAAACAAGACACUGGAGCAUGGGACAGUUUGCUGCCUAGAUGGUGCCCGUUGGACCCUCCCUUCCUACGCUCACUGGCUUCCUUGAGAGGAAGUCGGUCAAAGAGAGCCAGACUACCCUCUGCAACAUGCACUCUUUUGAACACUCCACAGCAGUGGAGAAACGAUAAUGGCAGCCGACUACACCAGCCGCGGCGGGGACAGCUCGGCUAGGGCAGUUCACGUAGCUCGUGCUGAGCUUUUUACCACACAGGCAUCCGUACCUCUAGAGUACCUUCUGCUGUUUCCGCAUAGGCCGGAAGGAGAGGGCUACCUUUAGUGGCCCAGCAGAGCUGCUGCUGAAACUACUGCUAAGGGACAGUUCUGCCAGUUUUACCGUUUGAAAUGUUUGCAUGAGGGGUUCGCUGUGAUUGGCACUGCCAUGUUCCUGGGUGUGUAAGCGACGGCCUCUGGCUCACUUGGGAGACGCCGGGGUAGCUGCUGUGGUGCCCUCCUUGAUGUUAGGACCCUGGGCCCAGUUAAAGCCUUCUCUCUGCUGAUCUUCCCCUGCCUGCUUUCGGUGGUGGGGCCUGAGCUGGCAGCCGAAGCAAGCAGCGCCGAGACGGCAGAGGAGGCAGCAGGUCAGCCUGAGAGCAUGUGGGCUGCACAAGGGGAAGAGCAGGAGAACAGACAGAGAGCUGAGGCUGAAGGAUGGAAAACUAGACUGAAACAGAGGAGCUGGCGGCACACCCGUGAAUCCCAGCAUUCAGGAAGCAGAGGCAGGCAGGUCUCCCGAGUUCCAGGACAGCCUGGUCUGAGACGCUGCCUCAGAAAAAAGGGGGGGCCUGGAAGGAUAGCUCAGAGGUUAAGAACACUUGCCACACUCUUACAGUAGACCAGGGUUCAAUUCCCAGCACCCCCAUGGUAGCUCAGAACAGUCUGUAACUCCAGCUGCAGGGAUCUGCUGCUCGCUCUCUACCUCCACAGGCUCUGGACACACAUGUGGACAUAGACUUACACGAAGGCAAAAACGUUCAUAUUUGUAAAGUAAUAACUAAAGGAAUAAAAGAAGCGGAGAGGAGAGUCUGCAGGCCGCAGUCACAGCUUUCACAGUUACAGACAACUGCCAGGACCGCAGGACAGGAAACUCUGCCUGCUCCAAGGGUUGAAGAGUCUAGCUCACCUGCCAAGAAGCUGCAGCUCCAAAGGCUGCCAAAGGUUGAAGAAUCCCGAUUCUUCCCCCUGCCUGCAUGAGAAUUCUACACUAGAGGGCGCCCCUUGGCAAGAUGAGCCAGGAUGGGCACUUAAAGAGCUUCUUGCUGGCAAGGAUAAUUAUCUGGGGAGAACAAAAGGACGCCGAUUUGGCCAGUAACCUCAGUACUAAAGCAGAAGGGCAGCCUGUGCUGCACGGAGAGUUUGGGCUGGCUGGUUUGUUUGGCUGUUCGCCAUUUCUAUCAGUUAGACACUGUAUUUGCCCAGGUGGCCUCCGAUACACGCCUCCUCCCUCCAUUAGUAGACAGGGCUUUUGCUUUUGGCAGUGCUGGGAAUUGAACCUAGGGCUAGGCAAGUGUUCUACCACUGAGCUUUAGCCAUUGCUCUAGACCAGACUUCUGUCAUUCUUCCUCACAAGGAUCCCAAUGUCCUGUUUAGCUGUACAGGGUCAUGAGACCCUCGCUCCAUCCAGUAGCGCUGGUUCCUUCUUCCAAGCGUCUGUUCAGUCAGGGCUCAGACACUGCUGAGGACUUCGAUAGGCCAAGCACAACAGCUUAGCUCCCAGCAGAGCCGAGCUGGUGCACGCCUUUGAUCCCAGCCUUUUCGAGAGGCAGGUGGAUCUGAGUUCAGGGCCAGCCUGGUGUACAGAGUUCCAGGAUGGCCAGAGCUACACAGAGAAACCCUGUCCCAAAAAACAAACAAACAGCAAACAGCUCAGCUGUCAUUUCUACUUUCAGUAAAGCUUGAGAGGCUGAAGGAUUUGUCAGUGUCACAAACGUUGAGAUGAAGACUUGGGCAGGAUGACCUUGACUCUUUAUGAAGCCCCAGGAGCCCGCACAGAUAUCACACCUGUAUUCUUAUUGGUUUGGUUUAGUUUUUAAGAGAGCUUCUCUUUGUAGACCAGGCUGGCCUUGAACUCAUAGAGAUCUGCCUGCCUCUGCCUCCCAAGUGCCGGGAUUAAAGGCGUGUGCCUUUAAUCAACUGCCUAUAUCCUUUGAGGUCAAAGCUGUCUUAAAACUCUGGAAGACUUUCAAGUACAAAGCACUGUCUACCAUAGCUAACCCUUUUAAUAUUGGGUGGAUGGAUUAUUUGGGCUGAUUGCCCUCCCCUCAGAGAUGCUUCCUUCUCCCCUAGACCCAGGCCAGGGGUCCCCCAAUAAAAGCAAGGCGGUCUUGA